AGCGGAGGAAAAGAAACCAACAGGGAUUGCCUUAGUAACGGCGAGUGAACAGGCAAGAGCUCAGAUUUGAAAGCCUUUCGGGGCAUUGUAUUCUGAAGCCUUGAUUCUGAGAACCGGUACCUAAGUCUUCUGGAAAGGAGCGCCAAGGAGGGUGAUAGCCCCGUACGGUACUGACCUCAUUGUAGAAUCUUGGCGUGGAGUCGAGUUGUUUGGGAAUGCAGCUCAAAUGGGUGGUAUGCUCCAUCUAAAGCUAAAUAUCUGCGAGAGACCGAUAGCGAACAAGUACUGUGAAGGAAAGAUGAAAAGAACUUUGAAAAGAGAGUGAAAAAGUACGUGAAAUUGUUGAAAUGGAAGGAUAGGCCGCUAACCACGUAGAGCCGUGUCUGAGGGGAGGAUAAAAGCUGUAGAAUGUGGCUCUUCGGAGUGUUAUAGCUGCAGUGCAUACUCCCACUCGGGCGCGAGGACCUAAGGCUC
rnacentral:rRNA from 1 species